rnacentral:lncRNA from 1 species
GGAAAGAUUCCAAGGUUCAUGUAUACUUGGCCGGGGAUAGUUCCGGUGGAAAUAUAGCACACCAUGUCGCAGUGAGGGCAGCGGAAGCCGAAAUCGAAGUAUUGGGUAACAUUCUUCUGCAUCCAAUGUUCGGCGGCCAAGAGAGAACUGAAUCAGAGAAGAGAUUAGACGGAAAAUACUUCGUUACGAUUCAAGAUCGUGACUGGUACUGGCGAGCAUAUCUACCUGAAGGAGAAGAUAGAGAUCAUCCAGCAUGUAAUAUCUUUGGCCCUCGAGGGAAAAAUCUCGCAGCACUCAAAUUCCCAAAA